GGGACGAGACCCUCCUCCCUGAUUUGAUCUAUCCAACAGCGGCAGAAUGCCUCAAGUGCGGAAUGACAAGGGAUCGACCAAAAGAGGAAGAGAAGAAAGCUGUGCGUUGGAGCUCUCUCUCUGUCCUACAGCAGUGCCUCAAGUACGGCAGAAUGCCACAACCAAGGGAUCGACCAAAAAAAGAGGAAGAGAAGAAAGCUCUCUCUGUGAAGCUCUCUCUCUCUGUCCUCAAGAAAAACCUCCUAGCUCUCUCAGCCUCAGCAACAGCAGUUUCUGUCGGUGUUUGGACCUCUUACAAGAGGGUGGUCCGGGGAUGCGCAUCCGCACGUCCGCGUUCCACUCUUUUGGAUAAUCCGGUGCUGUGACGGAUUGCAAACCACGCGAGGAUCCCUCGCUCUGCAGUCCUUUCCCAGCACUGAUCGGUAUCAAUGGGAGCGACCCUGUGCCUCGUGUAUUGGGCCGACAGAGGUGAAAUUCUCAGAUCGAUGUGGGACAAGCGGAAGCGAAGGCGCUCUGCUGGACCGCAUCCGCCAAUCAAGAACGAGAGUGUGGGGAUCGAAGAUGAUCAGAUACCGUCGUAGUCCACUGUACCAUAAACCGUGCCUGCGCGGUCUCGAUGAAGGUGUUCCCAGUCAGAUGCCUCUCCCCGUGCCCUCGUGGUACGGGGGGAGGACCCCGUCUCUGGGAAGCAACUUCGUCGGUACCAUUCCUCCAAUCAACGAGAAAUCCAGAGCCUCUGGGUUCAGGGGGGAGUACCGCUGCAAAGCUGAAACUUAAAGGAAUUGACGGAAUGACACCACAAGACGUGGAGUAUGCGGCUUAAUUUGACUCAACACGGGAAACGUUACCAGGUCAGGACAUACAAGGANUGACAGAUGCGAGCUCUUUCUUGAUAUAUUGAACGGUGGCGCACGUCCGUUCCUGGUCGGUGGAGUGAUUUGUAUGGUUGAUUACCGAUACCGAGCGAGAUCUCUGCCUCACAAUAGUCGCCGGCCUCGCCCGGUGCGGGUCCUCCUCCCUUCCCAUGCGUCGGGAGGCUGUGUCCCCACCACUCUGUAGGGGGAUCGGGCCAGGAGAUAUUGGGGGUUCGCGCCUCCAUUCCCUCCUGGUCCAACCCCCGAGAGCGCCGGUUCUCUCUGCCCGCAAGCAAGCAACAAAAGAAGAACCCCCGAGCGACGGAUCUAUGGGGUGAGAACGGGUUUUUCUACCCGCUCUCACACCACCGUCAAUCAAAAAGCGGUUCCUCUCUUUUGUGUGAGCGCGCGCGCGGGCAGAGGGUCUCCACUCUCACAAACGACGAGUGGUACGUGCUUCUUUGCGGGGCCGCACACGGUUACUAGCCCCCCCUAAGUAUGCGCAUGCCCGAGCCAACAGCAGGUCUGUGAUGCCCCUAAAUGUUCUGGGCCGCACGCGCCCUACAAUGUUAUGGUGAACAAGCUCGAAUCUCCCGUGCGCCCGCUCGUCUCUCCAAACUUGUUUGGAAACGGGCGGGACGCGGGCAGAUCCUACCUCGAAACGAGGGACCGCCGCCCUCAGUGACAGCCAGGAAAUCUUGUGGAAUCCACAACGUGACUGGGAUAGAUGAUUGCAACUAUUUGCCUUGCAACGAGGAAUGCCUAGUAGGCGCACGUCAACAGCGUGCACCGACUCGGUCCCUGCCAUUUGUACACACCGCCCGUCGUUGCUACCGAUGGUGUGAGAACAGAGACCUCAGGAACCGAGCGCACCCACACGCGCUUUCUCUGCUGCCGCACUGUCCACUUGCGAGAGUGGACGUGUGGGAGAGAGAUUUGCGCGCACGUGUGGUGCGUUCGGUGAAUUUGGUCAAUGUGUUUG
rnacentral:rRNA from 1 species